AAGCGCCGCUUUGCCGGUGUUAACGCCGGAGAGCCUCCCGCUGGAACUGCCCCCCCCGCAGAGCAGCCGUGCGCCCUGCCCCGGCGUUGUUCAGCGCAUCAGCUGAUACCAUGUCCCGCAAUUCGACGUUUUUGUUUCUUGACAACUUCAUGCAUCUUUUUAGCAGGUUUUGUUUUGGACAGAGGUUUUGCGCGUAUUUACAGAAUUCAGUGCGAUGCGUAAUAUUCAGACGCGUUGUGAAUAAGCAGAAUUUGUUAGCUUGUUAAAAUUAAGUGAUUCCCAGUAAGCACAGGGUAUAAUCCUAUACUUAGGCUUCUGGCUCUCAUUUAUUUCGCAGCACAACUUUUUGUCUUGGACACACACUUCAGCGCUACAAAUUAAUCUUUGAGUUUAGGAAGCCAAGUGUCUCCGAGCUUUUUGACAGAAAACAGCGAACAGUGUUGUAUUGACCACCUUCAUGCUAUUUCUGACGGAUGGUGUCACUAAACUUGAGCUCACUUGUCACAAUGGAAUUUAAUUAUCUGCUGGAGAGAAGCCCUGACAGCUGUGGCGUAGGUUUUUCAAUGUGAUGUUGCCUGGAUUGCAAGAAAAAUAUCAAGGGCUGGUGAGAACAGCCAUGUUCUAAAAGCAUCUCUGCCUGGGUUAGACCACUGCCUACCAAAGAGAAAAGCACUACUGCAGGAUGCUCUCCAGAAACCCAAGAAACAGAAAACCAUCAAACUGCUCCAGGCUGUAAGGAUUUCCUUCGGGAGGGAAGAUCAGUGGCACAGACUCUGCCCAGCCCUUGAAAGUGGUGUGGACAAAGACUGGGUUUGCAACAAAGACAAGGAACCACUCCUACCCCACAGACUGGGGCUGAGCCAGCAGGGCCCAGUGUGCUGUCAGGACUGUGUUGGGACAAAUUGGUGAUGCAGGUGAGUUGCUGAGGUGGUGUAUCAGUGUCAGAAGAGUAGGAGAUAACUGUGCACACAAG
rnacentral:lncRNA from 1 species